GGAUCGGGACGAGGAUCGGGAUGCCAGCUGAGUGUCCGGCCGGGCUCGGGGCGAACAUGGCGGCGGUUCUGAGGGGCGGCCCCUGAGGGGCGGCCCCUGAGGGGGGUCUGCGGGCACGGACAGCCGGGUGGGACGGUCGGUGUCGCACAGGUCGGACACGGGCCUUUCCUGAGGAUAAUUCACAUGUUUGUUUAUUCUCGGUCUCGCAGCAACCCCCGGGCUGGCAGCGGCGCUGGAAUCGCGCACCGCGAUCCAAAUUAGCACAAACCUGCCCGCAGAACGCGGCACAGGCACCGGCAGCCAUCCAGGGAAUGCUGGCUUGAAGAAGGAUGUCAAUAGUCACAGUCCAGCUUGGGCAGUGUGGGAACCAGAUUGGGCACGAGGUGUUUUGCUGCCUGUGCAGUGACAUCCGGGGCACUCACGGGCUCUGCUCCAAGAAGGAAAACCAAUCCUACCAGGAUGCCUGCAAGGAGAGGUUUUUCUGGGAGGAGGAAUCUGGAGUGCCUGUGGCCCGGGCUGUGCUGGUUGACAUGGAGCCCAAAGUCAUCAGCCAAACCUUAUCCAUGGCUGCCAGGUCUGGCUGCUGGAAAUAUAACAACCAGUCCCACUUCUGCCAGAAGCAAGGCUCUGGGAACAACUGGGCCAACGGUUACUCUGUCCACGGGCCCAGACACAAGGAAUCAAUCAUGGAUCUGGUGCAGAAAGAAGCAGAGAGAUGUGACAGACUGGGAGGAUUUUUCACCAUCAUGAGCAUGGCUGGGGGCACAGGGUCAGGCCUGGGAGCAUUUGUGACCCAGUGCUUGAGAGAUGCUUUUCCAGCCUCAUUUAUCCUAAACCACGUUAUCUGGCCCUAUGGCACUGGUGAGGUCAUUGUUCAAAACUACAACUCUGUUUUGACUCUGUCCCAUCUGUACCGCUCCUCAGACGCCCUCCUUGUCCACGAGAACGAUGCCAUCCACAGGAUCUGUGCCCAGCUGCUGAACAUCAAACAGAUCUCCUUCAGGGAUGUGAACCAAGUCAUUGCACAUCAGCUGGGCAGCGUUUUCCAGCCCGUUCACCCAGCAGAGGGGGGCUCAGACUACAGCAGGAACCCACUGGGAGAUUUGAUGGAGACGCUGGUCCCACAUCCCGAGUUCAAGAUGUUGGGGCUCCGGAACAUUCCUCAGAUUCCUGAGAACUCCCUCCCCUACAGCACCUUCAGCUGGCCUGGGCUCAUCAAACACCUGAGGCAGAUGCUCAUUGCCAAUGCCCAGAUGGAGGAAGGUAUUGACUGGCAAGUACGACCACCUCCUCCAGGCUCCUCCACCCCCUCCAGCCAUUCCACAAAGAAGCCACUGCACUUCAACACUUCCAUUGCCAACCUGGUUAUCCUGAGAGGAAAAGAUGUGCACAGUGUGGAUUUGGGAAGUUUCCAAGAUCCCUCCCUGUACACAUCAUGGCUAAAGCCUCAGGAUGCUUUUAAUGCCUGGAGAACACCAAGAGCAUUUAACAAGUAUGAAAAGUCUGCCUCUCUGGUCAGCAACAGCCAGUUCCUGCUGAAACCUCUCGACAGCGUUGUGGGAAAAGCUUGGAAUAUGUUUGCUUCCAAAGCUUAUAUUCACCAAUACACCAAAUUUGGAAUUGAAGAGGAAGAUUUCCUGGACAGCUUCACAACCCUGGAACAAGUUAUCUCCAGUUACACCACCCUUUGAUUUUCUUUCUUUUAAAUGGUCAGAAAUAGAGCUUUUCUGAAAGAACCCAGCACUGGAAAACCUCCCAUCAACUUCCUGAAGUAUGGAAAUGUCUGGGCUGGAGCUGGUUUUCAGUCUUGAAAGCAGUGUGUGUGUGUGUUAGGACAGCAAGAGCUGACUCUGAGCUGAAUAUAUUCCUAUGGGCAGAGGAAACUGGAGGGAAGGUUGCACGAGCUGGGACAAACAGCACAGGCACUGCAAGAACAAAGGUCAGGAAAGGAGACCCUGGGGAGCUUCUCCCUCCUGCAGGAGGCCCAGGAUGUUCAGCCACACAGACACCCCUGUCCUGGUGUUCCCAACACAUCCCAGACUGGUCAGAAAUGGGGAACUGCACGUCUGCAACAAGGGCCAAGCCCCAGCAGUGCUUCCUCCUGGCCCACAGAACAGGAUGCGACUGGAAGUUCCAGUGACCUCGCCGGUCCCGCUUCCAGUGUUUUUCGUGGCAACUCUUCCCUCGUUUCUCCUGUCAAAGGAGGGCAGCAGCGCUCUGCCCACGAUCCCUUCCUGCUCUGCCCACGGUCCUUCCCUGCUCUGCCCACGGUCCCUUCCCUGCUCUGCCCACGAUCCCUUCCUGCUCUGCCCACGAUCCCUUCCUGCUCUGCCCACGAUCCCUUCCCUGCUCUGCCCACAUCCCUUCCCUGCUCUGCCCACAUCCCUUCCCUGCUCUGCCCACAUCCCUUCCCUGCUCUGCCCACGAUCCCUUCCCUGCUCUGCCCACGGUCCCUUCCCUGCUCUGCCCACGAUCCCUUCCCUGCUCUGCCCACGGUCCCUUCCCUGCUCUGCCCACGAUCCCUUCCUGCUCUGCCCACGGUCCCUUCCCUGCUCUGCCCACGAUCCCUUCCCUGCUCUGCCCAUGAUCCUUCCCUGCUCUGCCCACGAUCCCUUCCCUGCUCUGCGACUCCAGCCCGAUCCCCCCCGAGGCUCUUUUGUGGGCAGAAAUGGCCAGAGGAACAUUUAUAACAGCCACAAAUAUCGCACGUGAAAUCCGAGUUAAGUUCACGGAUUUUAGCUAAAAUGCCUCAGCAUCCUCAAGGAUUUCACGUCGCUCUGUCCCGUUGCAAAUUCAGGGUAAGUUUUUUAAAAUACUUUUUUUUUUAAAUUUUUUUGGGGGGGGGGUAUGAAAGGAAAUUUCUGCCCCUUGUAGCUGCUCUAAACACCGUAGUUUUCUUUUCCUUUCAAACACCGAAGGCUUGGGGAUUUUAUUUCUCUUACUGUCCACUAAGCCACAGACCCUCCUGGCUCCUGAAGCAUCGAUGCUGCACAGUUUGUUACCCCUUCACAUGGAAAUGCAACUUUUUCCUCCUUAAAUUUAACCUUCCAAGCAGGCAGCUAAUGCAGAGAGGCAAGAACUGCCACUAGUCUUGCUCUAUUUUUUGUCUUAUUGUCUAAAGAAUUUAAAUCCAAUUUUUGUACAAUUACAGAGUAAGUUUGAAACAGAGUUAAGUUUAAAAUCCAGUUUCACACAAUUACGGGGGAAUUUUAAAACCCAAUUUCACACGAUUACAGGGUAGUUUUUAAUUCCCAGGUUGAUUUUGAAGUGAGAUUUUUAUCUGUAUUGCUCGGGUCAGUGCAGAUCUUGGUAAAACAGACACGUGAAGAGCCCGAGAAAGGCUGAGCUGGGGGAGGGUCUUACCUGUGGAACGCCACCGUCCGACUUGUGGUGAAGUUUUAUCCUCUGAGCUUCCAGAUAUUCUUGAAAUGGCUUCUGAAGAGAAGGACCUAUACUUGGAAUAGCACUGAUGGAAAGUUCAUCCCAGAGAACGAGACAAAAUAGGGGAGAAAAAAAAAAAACAAAACCAAAAAAAACCAUUGGCUUUUUUCUUUUUUUUUUUUUUAAAUAAACUUACCACUUUACCUAAUGAGAGCAAAGUUCAGGCUGAGCUACAGCUCAGGAGGGAACUCCUGAGCCACUUGAGAAAACAGAAACCCCACGAAAUAAAGCAAAAUAUUCAUCUUUUGAUCUUUCCCCAGAUCCUCCAAAAGUGCUCAAAAAGGAAAAUCUCUGUGAGCAGCAGAGCGCCGGGCAGGGGGCAGGAGCUGGGAGCUGGAGCGUGUCCUGGAGGCAGGAGAAGGAGCUGAGCACUGGGGCAGCGCUGGGAGGCAAAUGAAUGACUUCGGAGAAGUCCCACAUUUAUCAGCAGCAGUUCCUGUAAGAACUGGUUUGAACCGAUUAAUAAGGAAAUGACUUGUGCUUGUGUCAUCCCCCGGUUAAAAAAGAGGCUGCUCGCCCUAUGACUUGCCCCUUCUCCUGCGAGGAGACGGCCCCUUUCUCCAACAAAGUCCUUAUUAGGACAAUCUGUGCGUCAUCCCUUCCCAAAAGGAACGCGUGAGCAAAUCCUGCGGCACCUCCCCCGGGCAGGGAUUAACAAAGGAACAAAGAGGCGCUGGGAGCCCUGCCCUGCAUCGUGCCAGCCUGGGUGGCACAGGGCGGGCUCCGAGGGACCUGCUGAACACCUUGUUCCUGCUGCGGGGUCACGUCUGGGAGCUCGGAGCCCUCUCGGGGGGAGGGUGGUACCGCCGGGCAGCCUCUGCCCUCCACCCAAAUCCCCCUGGCCAGGCUGCCACCAAACCCACCCAGGCAGCUCUGCCUUAAAUCCACCCACCCUGCUAUUUAGCAAAUAGAGAUCCAAACCCCUUCAAUAAUGAUCACAACCCUUAAAUAAAACCCCAAAACUCAACUAUUCAACCCUAGAACUUGGGCAGCCUCUGACCUCCCCUCAAAUCCCCCUGGCCAGGCUUCCACCAAACCCACCCAGGCAGCUCUGCCUUAAAUCCACCCACUCUGCUAUUUAGCACAAGAUCCAAACCCCUUCAAGAAUGGUCACAACCCUUAAAUAAAGCCCCAAAACUCAAAUAUUAAACCCCACAAUUCAAAUAUCACCCAGAAUAAAUUGUCACCAGCACCAGCACGGCCUGAGCUGUGUGAACACACAAUCCUAAGGCUCCCAAGGCUGGAUCCACAAACAUCCACCACCACUCCUAACUCCCCCCACUGACAAACACCACUUGAGUUUCAAAGAGAACAGAGAUUUUAAUUUAUUUUCUUUUUUAUAUUUAACCGGGUUUAAAUUUUUUAAAUUUAAAGAGAUCAGUGUGAUCUCCACUGAAAACUCACCUAAUUUUCAACGCUUCACUUUUAACUCUUCACACCACAGGGAGGGUUCAGUAAAACAACUCCACACCCCAGGACACAUCCAACAACAGGUUUUACAAGUGACCAUCUCCCUGCGUCCCUCCAAUUAUUCUCCUCCUCAUUUGACACGAUAUUCCCUUUUCCAGGCCAGAGCCCAAUUCAAAAAGAACACUUUCUAAUUUUAGGAAUUUCAGAAAAGGCCCCGAGUGAAGAAACAAAGUGCCUCAUUCUGCUGCUCUCAAUGGAUUUCCUCCAUGGCCGGGGGCAAACGCCUUUUUGGAGCAGAUUUCCCAGAAAAAGGCCACUUCCCUCAUGAUUCACCCCCGGGAUGAGACAAACGGGGGGAGGAAAUUCUGUGCCCGGGGCUGCUGAAAUUUCAGGGGGGGGGAAAAAACAACCCCAGAGACUCCAGCCCGUCCCUGACACGUUUUCCACAAAUCCAAAGGAUUUCCAGGAUUCAGCCCCGACCCUUCCCGGGAAAAACCUCUCCCGGGAAAAACCUCUCCCGGUGAGUCGGGGCCGGGGCCGAGUCACCCUUGGAACUUCUGAGGUUUCUUUGCCUUCCUCCAAGAGCUCCAGCAAGGUGCUGUGCUCAGAUAUUUCCCAUUGUGCAAGAGCAACGUCCCAGACAAAGGAAGCCUGAAGUGGAAUUUGAUUCAAAUGAAGUUACUGACCACUAAAGAGAACUGUAUUUUAAUUUAAUAACAGGGCUUUUAAUGCAAGGUAUUGUUUAACAUGUUUGCUGUUCCCUCUAACACAGAUUGAUGAGGUAAUGCCAGCAGACAGCUUGGGAAAAGUCAAGGAUACCGGGACAUUCCAAAAAUCUCACUGUCUCCCAGGAACAUUUUUUAACUCUGACAUCAACCCUCCAAUAAACCCAAAUCCAGCAGAGCUCCUGUGACUGCACUCGGGGUAAUUCAAUGCAAAAUUAUCUCCAAGACAGAUGAAGUAGGAAAAAACUCCCGGGUUUGGCUCCAGGAUCCUCAGGAGAGGAAAUCCUUGGAAAUACCUGAGCUGGUGUGACUGAGAAAAACCCCUGAUGGUUCAAAGUUGCCACGUUUCUUUCUCUCUCUCCCUUUUGUUAUAAAUAAUGUUCAAAGCAACAAAUUAAUGUUGAAGUUUGGUACAAAACAGAUGGGAAGAUCAGGAAUAAUAAAGUCAGGAUUAAUGAAAUUC